UAUCCGUAGGUGAACCUGCGGAGGGAUCAUUACAGAGUUCAUGCCCUAACGGGUAGAUCUCCCACCCUAUGUUAUCAUCACUUUGUUGCUUUGGCGGGCCGUCAGGCCUCGGCUUGGCUACCGGCUCUCGCUGGUAAGCGCCCGCCAGAGAACCCCAAACCCUGAAUAUCAGUGUCGUCUGAGUACUAUACAAUAGUUAAAACUUUCAACAACGGAUCUCUUGGUUCUG
rnacentral:misc_RNA from 1 species